rnacentral:rRNA from 1 species
GAUGAACGCUGGCGGCGUGCUUAACACAUGCAAGUCGAGCGAGUGAGUUCUUCGGAACGAUCUAGCGGCGGACGGGUGAGUAACACGUGGGCAACCUGCCUCAUAGAGGGGAAUAGCCUCCCGAAAGGGAGAUUAAUACCGCAUAACAUCGUUGAAGGGCAUCCUUCGAUGAUCAAAGGAGUAAUCCGCUAUGAGAUGGGCCCGCGGCGCAUUAGCUAGUUGGUGAGGUAACGGCUCACCAAGGCGACGAUGCGUAGCCGACCUGAGAAGGUGAUCGGCCACAUUGGGACUGAGACACGGCCCAGACUCCUACGGGAGGCAGCAGUGGGGAAUGUUGCACAAUGGGGGAAACCCUGAUGCAGCAACGCCGCGUGAGUGAUGACGGCCUUCGGGUUGUAAAGCUCUGUCUUUGGGGACGAUAAUGACGGUACCCAAGGAGGAAGUCACGGCUAACUACGUGCCAGCCGCCGCCGUAA